rnacentral:rRNA from 1 species
GGUUUAAUUCGAUGAUACGCGAGGAACCUUACCAGGGCUUAAAUGUAGGAUGACAGGCUAAGAAAUUAGCUUUUCUUCGGACAUCUUACAAGGUGCUGCAUGGUUGUCGUCAGCUCGUGCUGUGAAGUGUCGGGUUAAGUCCCAUAACGAGCGCAACCCCUAUUCUUAGUUGCCAGCGAGUAAUGUCGGGGACUCUAAGAAAACUGCCGGUGUAAACCGUGAGGAAGGUGGGGAUGACGUCAAAUCAUCACGGCCCUUACGUCCUGGGCCACACACGUGCUACAAUGGUCGGUACAGAGGGCAGCUAUCUGGUGACAGAAUGCAAAUCUCAAAAGCCGAUCUCAGUUCGGAUUGUAGUCUGCAACUCGACUACAUGAAGCUGGAAUCGCUAGUAAUCGCGCAUCAGCCAUGGCGCGGUGAAUACGUUCCCGGGCCUUGUACACACCGCCCGUCAAGCCAUGGAAGCCGAGGGUGCCUGAAGUCGGUAACCGCAAGGAGCUGCCUAGGGUAAAAUUGGUAACUGGGGCUAAGUCGUAACAAGGUAGCCGUAAAGGGC